UCGGGAAUUUUGGGCAAUGGGCGAAAGCCUGACCCAGCAACGCCGCUUGAAGGAUGAAAUCCUUCGGGAUGUAAACUUCGCAAGAACGGGAAGAAUAAGUAAGAGUUAAUAUCUCUUACGAUGACGGUACUGCUUGUAAGCCCCGGCUAACUCCGUGCCAGCAGCCGCGGUAAUACGGGGGGAGCAAGCGUUGUUCGGAUUUACUGGGCGUAAAGAGCUCGUAGGCGGCUUGGCAAGUCGGGUGUGAAAACUUCAGGCUCAACCUGGAGCGGCCACUCGAUACUGCUAUGGCUUGAGUCCGGUAGGGGACCACGGAAUUCCUGGUGUAGCGGUGAAAUGCGCAGAUAUCAGGAGGAACACCAGUGGCGAAGGCGGUGGUCUGGGCCGGAACUGACGCUGAGGAGCGAAAGCGUGGGUAGCAAAC
rnacentral:rRNA from 1 species